rnacentral:lncRNA from 1 species
AAGUGCAUGAAAAUGCAACUUGGUUUUGCAUGACCCUGUCCAAUUUUUUUCUUAUCUAGGCCUACUCUGCUCAUAUCAUUUAUGAAAAUAUGGUGUUUAUUUGAUUUUAUAUCUGUUCAAUAGCAGCUCUUUUGAAUUUGAAGCUAUUGAGAAAAUGGCAACAUGCCAUGUUGAAGUUAUUUAGAGAGGAACAAAACAAAAAACACCAAACCAAUAGGGAUAAGCCUCCAUGCAAUAGUUGGUACUCGUGACAUAAACUUAUUGUAUGACCUGGAUCCAACAGUGAUUCUACAAAGGAAAUGAAUCUAAUCUUGUUCAGGAAAUUAUCAGAUUGAAUUCUAAUUUCAUUUUGAAGUCUCCAAUACUUUAUAUAAGCAAAUGAAAAUCAGCAUACGACAUUUGCUUAACAAAGUUUACAGUCCUAAAGGGUUAAAGAUUUUAGAUGGCAGAAAAGGAGUUUACUUCAAACUGAUAUAUGUUUCUGCAAUUUUCAGGAUAAAAAUAAAGAAUGCAUUGAUAUUAAACUACAUUGUAUAUUCAGUUGCAUGUUUUGAUAUUUAAAAUAAAAAGAUGGCAUAUGUCAAAAGUUGAUUUUCAUUUGUUUACUACCAAUUGUUAAAGACAAGGUACUCUCAGAAAUACUUGACUGCUUUAUUUUCUCUAGAUGCUGUAAUCCGGAUCACCUGCCACAAUUUACACAGACUUCUGAUUUUGGUAAAUAAAAGCAAAAAUGAGAAAUAAAUUCAUGAGUGCUUGCGCCUCCUUGCACCCUCCUGAGGUCAAGUACACAUGCUAGUAAACAGUAAGUAUAGAGGUGAGUAAAUGAUAAGAUGAAAUGGGAACCGAUGCAUUUUAAUUCCUGUGUUCACCUCCACUAUGAUUUGUAAGAUCAGUCAGGGGAAAAAAGGGUCAAAAUAAAGCUUAAUUUAAAGUCGUCUGUCUUCCCCUUUGGUAAGGCCAGCUUUGAUAUAUAUAUAUAUAUUUUUUUGUGUGUGUAGUACUACAAUUGGCAGAAUUGUCUAAAAAGAUAACAGGUGUAUAUUGCCCAUUUAAAAAUGAAUAUAACCCUUUUUAAUUUGGAUAAUAGUAGAUUUAAUGUCCUGUCAAUAAUAUUUGAACUAAUAUAUGUUUACAACUUUGUAAUGUCCAAAUCUGCAGAAACUGUUGCAAAAGGUAAUGCACAUUAUUGCUCUGAAUUAUUUUUGAAGUGUUCAAUUGGUAACUUUACAAUUUGUUACCAAAAUUCAAUAGAAUUUAAAGCAAUUCCUCUCCCUCUCUGCUUUGAUACCAAACAAAGAAUUAUGAAAGGAAAAAUUUUAAACAACUGUUUAAGAAAAUGAUGUCUUCUUUAUCCUUGCAUCUGUUUUUAGUCCAUUUGAGAACUUUUCUUGGUUUACUUUUUUGUAUAAUUUUAGAAUAAAAGAAAAACUACAUUCAUUUUUUUUUUCCAGUUUGGAAAAUCACCCCAACUCCCCAAGACAUUGUGUUUCCUUUUCAAAAAAUCUAAGAUGUGCAUUGCCUGCUCUAUAUUGGAUGUCCUUCAUUGAUUUUUGUUGGGAGUGCUAUGUACUCAUAUGUGAAGAUAACAUAAGCCUUGAAUAGAAAGUGUCAUUUGUGAUUCUGUAUGUAAAUAAAAAUGUUCUUUGAUCUUGUAAUUGUA